AAUCAGACCAACUGUCGCACAGAGACAGUCUUCCCCCCGCCCCUCGCUCCUGCCGGACACCUUCUCACUCGGACCAGCCGUCGCGCCUGAUUGAUGUGGUGAAGUUGGAAAUGGACUGUUUCAAUAUCCGAGGAGUCACAAAUGGUGCUGGACAUUGUGCAAUCAUUAAUGAACAUCCCUGCUUCUGACCUUAUGAUGGAGGGAGAGACAUUGAUGAAUCAGCUGAAGAUGGCUGGGAUACUACACUGAGGAACUGCUGAAGAGAUGUCCUGGAGCUGCAUGGAUUUACUUCCAAAACCACAACCAUCUUCCUUGUGUCAGUGGAAUCUUCCUUUUCUCCCUGACUCUGCUUGGCAACUCUCCUAAUAGCCAACCAAUCUGAAACUGAGCCACGACAGACAGCAGACACAAUCUGCUACUGUAAACACAUUGAUAAUACUGAAAAAUUCCAAAGCAUGUGAGGAGUGGCCAUUGUAAA